AUUGAACGCUAGCGGCAGGCUUAACACAUGCAAGUCGAGGGGUAUUGGUUUUCGGACCAAGAGACCGGCGCACGGGUGCGUAACGCGUAUGCAAUCUACCUUUUGCAGAGGGAUAGCCCCAGAGAAAUUUGGAUUAAUACCUCAUAGUAUAGUACUUUGGCAUCAAGGAACUAUUAAAGUCACAACGGCAAAGAUGAGCAUGCGUCCCAUUAGCUAGUUGGUAAGGUAACGGCUUACCAAGGCUACGAUGGGUAGGGGUCCUGAGAGGGAGAUCCCCCACACUGGUACUGAGACACGGACCAGACUCCUACGGGAGGCAGCAGUGAGGAAUAUUGGACAAUGGGCGCAAGCCUGAUCCAGCCAUGCCGCGUGCAGGAUGACGGUCCUAUGGAUUGUAAACUGCUUUAUACAGGAAGAAACACUACUUCGUGAAGUAGCUUGACGGUACUGUAAGAAUAAGGAUCGGACUAACUCCGUGCCAGCAGCCGACGG
rnacentral:rRNA from 1 species